rnacentral:rRNA from 1 species
GACGAACGCUGGCGGCGCGCCUAACACAUGCAAGUCGAACGGAGCUGAGAGAAGCUUGCUUUUCUUAGCUUAGUGGCGAACGGGUGAGUAACGCGUGAGUAACCUGCCCUGGAGUGGGGGACAACAGUUGGAAACGACUGCUAAUACCGCAUAAGCCCACGAUCCGGCAUCGGAUUGAGGGAAAAGGAUUUAUUCGCUUCAGGAUGGACUCGCGUCCAAUUAGCUAGUUGGUGAGGUAACGGCCCACCAAGGCGACGAUUGGUAGCCGGACUGAGAGGGUGAACGGCCACAUUGGGACUGAGACACGGCCCCGACUCCUACGGGAGGCAGCAGUGGGGGAUAUUGCACAAUGGGGGAAACCCUGAUGCAGCGACGCCGCGUGGAGGAAGAAGGUUUUCGGAUUGUAAACUCCUGUCGUGAGGGACGAUAAUGACGGUACCUAACAAGAAAGCACCGGCUAACUACGUG